CAAAAGCCAAAGCCGUAAUUCGAGGUUGACUAAGAAUGACUAAAGUAAUUCAAUCAAUUGGUCAACAGGAAACUCAAAACCUGCUUACCGAUCUGAGGUUUCUUUCUUAUUAUGUUACGGCGUGGAAGGAAACAGGGGAGUUGGCAAGCUAUGAAGAUCAUUUGGCCAAGCUGAGGAAAGAAUAUCUUAGCUGCCAAGCUGAGGAAAGAAUAUCUUAGUGCCACUGCCAAACUAAGGAAAGAAUACCUUAGCUGCCAAGCUCAGGAAAG
rnacentral:lncRNA from 1 species